UCCUCGUUAGUAUAGUGGGGAGUAUCCCCGCCUGUCACGCGGGAGACCAGGGUUCGAUUCCCUGACGGGGAG
rnacentral:tRNA from 1 species